rnacentral:rRNA from 1 species
UACGUAGGUGGCAAGCGUUGUCCGGAAUUAUUGGGCGUAAAGCGCGCGCAGGCGGCCUCUUAAGUCUGAUGUGAAAGCCCCCCGGCUCAACCGGGGAGGGCCAUUGGAAACUGGUAGGCUUGAGUAUAGGAGAGAAGAGUGGAAUUCCACGUGUAGCGGUGAAAUGCGUAGAGAUGUGGAGGAACACCAGUGGCGAAGGCGACUCUUUGGCCUAUAACUGACGCUGGGGCGCGAAAGCGUGGGGAGCAAACAGG